rnacentral:rRNA from 1 species
CCAGACUCCUACGGGAGGCAGCAGUGGGGAAUAUUGGGCAAUGGGGGAAACCCUGACCCAGCGACGCCGCGUGAGGGAAGAAGGUUUUCGGAUUGUAAACCUCUGUCCUUGGUGACGAUAAUGACGGUAGCCAAGGAGGAAGCCACGGCUAACUACGUGCCAGCAGCCGCGGUAAUACGUAGGUGGCGAGCGUUUUCCGGAAUUACUGGGUGUAAAGGGAGCGCAGACGGCAGUGCAAGUCUGGAGUGAAAGCCCGUGGCUUAACUACGGGACUGCUCUGGAAACUGUGCAGCUAGAGUGCAGGAGAGGCAGGCGGAAUUCCUAGUGUAGCGGUGAAAUGCGUAGAUAUUAGGAGGAACACCGGUGGCGAAGGCGGCCUGCUGGACUGUAACUGACGUUGAGGCUCGAAAGCGUGGGGAGCAAACAGGAUUAGAUACCCCUGUAG